rnacentral:rRNA from 1 species
CGAAGGGGCUAGCGUUGCUCGGAAUUACUGGGCGUAAAGGGAGCGUAGGCGGAUAGUUUAGUCAGAGGUGAAGCCCAGGGCUCAACCUUGGAACUGCCUUUGAUACUGGCUAUCUUGAGUGUGGGAGAGGUGAGUGGAACUCCGAGUGUAGAGGUGAAAUUCGUAGAUAUUCGGAAGAACACCAGUGGCGAAGGCGACUCACUGGCCCCAUUACUGACGCUGAGGCUCGAAAGCGUGGGGAGCAAACAGGAUU